GCAUAGGGAUCAAUCCCUACCAUCACUAGAAGAGACAAAGGAUGCUCUCGGGGGACACCAAAUUGACCACAAUGCCCUGUCCAACCCUCUGCUGUGACCUACUGGAAACCCUCAGGUGACACAAAAUAGACCACAAUGCCCUGUCCAACCCCCUACUGGAAACCGGAGGCACUUUGGGCAGCCCAGGUAGCGCCGUAGGGUCCUAGAGUUACGAGUUGUACGGGGCUGCGCCAGAGUUCGUUCCACGCGACUGUUUAACCCGCCAUGACAGAGAAUGCGUUCGUGAAGAAAAAACCAUUCCUACAUCAUUCCUACAUCAUUCCUACAUCAUUCAUACAUCUGUUCAUCCAUUCCGUCAUUCAUUUGGUUACUUAUUGAAGCCAUCAUUGAUGUCAUUCGUCUGCAAGAGAUGUAAACACUCUGAACUGUUCCCUGUGUAUGCGUCUACUCUCUGACCGGAGUUACCGUCCUGGAUAAAGUGAUCCCAGCAAACACACACAUACAUUCUACAAUAGUAUGAGGCAUGAAACUACAGUUCAUGCAUGGGUUAUCUGACAUUGCUUCC
ensembl:lncRNA